rnacentral:rRNA from 1 species
AUUGAACGCUGGCGGCAUGCUUUACACAUGCAAGUCGAACGGCAGCGCGGGCUUCGGCCUGGCGGCGAGUGGCGAACGGGUGAGUAAUACAUCGGAACGUGCCCAGUAGUGGGGGAUAGCUCGGCGAAAGCCGGAUUAAUACCGCAUACGACCUGAGGGUGAAAGCGGGGGAUCUUCGGACCUCGCGCUAUUGGAGCGGCCGAUGGCAGAUUAGCUAGUUGGUGGGGUAAAGGCCUACCAAGGCGACGAUCUGUAGCUGGUAUGUGAGGACGACCAGCCACAGUGGGGCUAAGACGCGCCCCAUCCUCCUGCGGGGGCGGCGGGUGGGGAUUUAUGAAGGAUGGGCCAGAGCUUAACCUGCGAGUCCCGUGUGUGAGUUGGUCACUUGGGGAUUAAAAAGCAGUUUUGGGGGGACGAAAAAGCAUUGUGCGAAUACCCCGGUACAAUGGCGGUCCCCGGGAAAGAAGCCCGGUCUAAAUACGUG